rnacentral:rRNA from 1 species
AACGAACGCUGGCGGCAGGCUUAACACAUGCAAGUCGAGCGCAUCCUUCGGGGUGAGCGGCGGACGGGUUAGUAACGCGUGGGAACGUGCCCUCUUCUACGGAAUAGCCUCGGGAAACUGAGAUUAAUACCGUAUACGCCCGGUAACGGGGAAGAUUUAUCGGAGGAGGAUCGGCCCGCGUUGGAUUAGGUAGUUGGUGGGGUAAAUGGCCUACCAAGCCGACGAUCCAUAGCUGGUUUGAGAGGAUGAUCAGCCACACUGGGACUGAGACACGGCCCAGACUCCUACGGGUGGCUG